GUUGAACGCUGGCGGAAUGCUUUACACAUGCAAGUCGAACGGCAGCACGGACUUCGGUCUGGUGGCGAGUGGCGAACGGGUGAGUAAUGUAUCGGAACGUGCCCAGUCGUGGGGGAUAACGUAGUGAAAAUUACGCUAAUACCGCAUACGAUCUAUGGAUGAAAGCGGGGGAACGCAAGACCUCGCGCGAUUGGAGCGGCAGAUAUCAGAUUAGGUAGUUGGUGGGGUAAAGGCCCACCAAGCCAACGAUCUGUAGCUGGUCUGAGAGGACGACCAGCCACACUGGAACUGAGACACGGUCCAGACUCCUACGGGAGGCAGCAGUGGGGAAUUUUGGACAAUGGGCGAAAGCCUGAUCCAGCCAUUCCGCGUGCAGGAUGAAGGCCCUCGGGUUGUAAACUGCUUUUGUACAGAACGAAAAGGUUUCUACUAAUACUAGGAGCUCAUGACGGUACUGUAAGAAUAAGCACCGGCUAACUACGUGCCAGCAGCCGCGGUAA
rnacentral:rRNA from 1 species